rnacentral:rRNA from 1 species
UACGUAGGGUGCAAGCGUUGUCCGGAAUUAUUGGGCGUAAAGAGCUCGUAGGCGGUCUGUCGCGUCUGCUGUGAAAACUCGGGGCUUAACCCCGGGCCUGCAGUGGGUACGGGCAGACUAGAGUGCGGUAGGGGAGACUGGAAUUCCUGGUGUAGCGGUGAAAUGCGCAGAUAUCAGGAAGAACACCCGUGGCGAAGGCGGCUCUCUGGAACGCAACUGACGCUGAGACGCGAAAGCGUGGGGAGCAAACAGG